AGAGUUUNCUNUUGGCUCAGGAUGAACGCUGGCGGCGUGCUUAACACAUGCAAGUCGAACGAACCUUCGGGUUAGUGGCGGACGGGUGAGUAACGCGUGAGAAUCUGCCCUCAGGAGGGGGAUAACGGCUGGAAACGGCCGCUAAUACCCCAUAUGCCGAGAGGUGAAAUGAAUUUCGCCUGAGGAUGAGCUCGCGUCUGAUUAGCUAGUUGGUGUGGUAAUGGCGCACCAAGGCUUCGAUCAGUAGCUGGUCUGAGAGGAUGAUCAGCCACACUGGGACUGAGACACGGCCCAGACUCCUACGGGAGGCAGCAGUGGGGAAUUUUCCGCAAUGGGCGAAAGCCUGACGGAGCAACGCCGCGUGAGGGAUGAAGGCCUCUGGGCUGUAAACCUCUUUUAUCAAGGAAGAAGAUCUGACGGUACUUGAUGAAUAAGCCACGGCUAAUUCCGUGCCAGCAGCCGCGGUAAUACGGGAGUGGCAAGCGUUAUCCGGAAUUAUUGGGCGUAAAGCGUCCGCAGGCGGUCUUGUAAGUCUGUCGUUAAAGCGUGGAGCUUAACUCCAUUUCGGCGGUGGAAACUACAAGACUAGAGUGUGGUAGGGGCAGAGGGAAUUCCCGGUGUAGCGGUGAAAUGCGUAGAUAUCGGGAAGAACACCAGUGGCGAAGGCGCUCUGCUGGGCCAUAACUGACGCUCAUGGACGAAAGCCAGGGGAGCGAAAGGGAUUAGAUACCCCUGUAGUCCUGGCCGUAAACGAUGAACACUAGGUGUCGGGGGAAUCGACCCCCUCGGUGUCGUAGCCAACGCGUUAAGUGUUCCGCCUGGGGAGUACGCACGCAAGUGUGAAACUCAAAGGAAUUGACGG
rnacentral:rRNA from 1 species